rnacentral:rRNA from 1 species
CAAUAGCGUAUAUUAAAGUUGUUGCAGUUAAAAAGCUCGUAGUCGGAUUUUGGCAUCACGCCGAACUGUCUGCCGAUUGGUAAGUACGGUUUGGCGGGUGCUUCUUUCUUGAAGCUCGUUCCCUUCUUAACUGAAGGGUUCGUUGGUUCAGGUUCUUUUACUUUGAGAAAAUUAGAGUGUUCAAAGCAGGCCUAUGCUCUGAAUAGGUUAGCAUGGAAUAAUAGAAUAGGACUUUGGUUCUAUUUUGUUGGUUUCUAGGACCGAAGUAAUGAUUAAUAGGGACAGUUGGGGGCAUUCAUAUUCCAUUGUCAGAGGUGAAAUUCUUGGAUUAACGGAAGAUGAACUUCUGCCAAAGCAUCUGCCAAGGAUGUUUUCAUUGA